rnacentral:rRNA from 1 species
ACCUACGGGGCGCAGCAGUGGGGAAUAUUGCACAAUGGGGGAAACCCUGAUGCAGCAACGCCGCGUGGGUGAAGAAGUAUUUCGGUAUGUAAAGCCCUAUCAGCAGGGAAGAGAAUGACGGUACCUGACUAAGAAGCCCCGGCUAACUACGUGCCAGCAGCCGCGGUAAUACGUAGGGGGCAAGCGUUAUCCGGAUUUACUGGGUGUAGAGGGAGCGUAGACGGCAGAGCAAGUCUGAAGUGAAAGCCCGCGGCCCAACUGCGGGACUGCUUUGGAAACUGCCCGGCU